rfam:Solanum lycopersicum cultivar Heinz 1706 chromosome 4, whole genome shotgun sequence.
UGUUGACCAGGUAAUGACAUGGCCAACAAAACAUGAUAGAGAAGAUUAGCAUGGUCUUUGGUGCAAGGAUGGCAUGCACAAAUCGAGAAAUGAUUCAUUUUUUU